AUAGUUUUAAAUUAAACUAUAUAACAUAUAAAAAUACUUAAAUAUGAUAAUUUAUAAAUUUGAAUAAAAAAUAUUAAAACCUUAACAUUUUAAUUUUGAAAUUUACAUUAAAAAAUCGCACACUAGAAAUUUUUGUGUUUAUCAUCUUAGUAUAAAUUCCCAGUAAUAAAUAUUUAUUUUAAAAUAUACUAUAUAUCUAUGUACAUGUCAUUGAAAUUUAGUUAUAUACCAUGUAAAAUAAAUAAAAUGAUUAUUUUGAUUUAUUUAUUAAAAAAUAUAGUAAAUAAACAAGAUGUAUUGUUUUGCUUUAUGUAUUUACUCUAAUUUAAUUAUAUACAUAAUACGUAAAUAAAUACAAAUAAAUAAUAAUAGAUAAAAAUUAGUUUUAUAUAUAACAUUCAUCCAAACAAGUAAUCAAACAGUACAAACUCAUGUCUUGCUAAUGGAGGAUUACCUGAAAAAGUUAACAAUUAUUUAAGUAAUGACUCCACAUCUCCACCAGAAGGCAUCCCAUCUCAGUAAUUACCAGCGGUAGUUAACUAUGAACGACUUUUGUUCUCUCUUGAUUGUUUGUGGUUUUGCUAGAUUUUAGUGUCAAUAUGAACUUCAACCUGAAUAAAUCAUACACAUAAGGAAGGAACUUAGAACCUUUUACAGCUUCUGGUUGGUUCUAUUCUUUAGCUGACUUGCUGGUCAAAGAUUGAGUGCUUAAGUGAGCGAAUAUAAUAUAUGAAGCAUUGGCAUAUAUGAUUUAGUGAGAUCUCAAUAGAAUCACUCACAUCAACUUAGGUUCUUGGUUCUGAAGAUUUUAUUACCUUAAGUUUCUUAGAGCAUCAUUAUCCCUAGUCUCUUAGACAGGUCUCUUCGUGUAAUUGGGAUUUUAAAAAAAAAAGAAAAAAUGUAAUAAUCACAUGAGACGUCUCUUAAUUAAGCACGGGAAGAGACGUCUCUUCUCUUCCUCUCUUUGCCUUCUUCUCUUCGCCUUUCUCUCUUCCUCUCUAUUUCUUCCUCUCCGUCUCGUGCUUCCACAAUUUGUUCACCGUGAAGAUGUCGUUGACGGAGCUAGACGACGGACUGGUACGCAGUAUGGCCAUCGGAGCAGUCUUCUCCGACUUCAGAGGUGACUCGCCUCUUCAUAUAGCUGCUAGAACUGAGAACUUACGGAAGGUUAAAGAGCUGAUUCCAGGCGGUUGCGAUGGAGAGGAGUUGAGAGAGUUGUUGUCAAAGCAGAAUUUUGAGGGAGAGACUCCUCUUUACACUGCUGCAGAGAAUGGUCAUUCAGCUGUUGGUGAGGAGAUGUUGAAGCGAGCUUAUCAUUUUUUUCUUUGUUUUGUAGAAAUGUGGUUUUAGUUUGGAGCCUUCACAAGGUACAUCCCUAGAAGCCACCUUCGCACCAGAUGGCAAGUAUGUUCUGUCAGUGACAUGAGUCAGGUUCCAGUUGCAACAGAGGUGGUGAAGUGGAGUGGAGCAUUCACGAGUGACAGAGAGUUGUUGUUUCAUUGUCUUGUGUCAUUGAGUUGUAAUUGUAUAUUUGCAAUUCACAAAGUAAUCUACUCCAUUCUCUACUUCAACUUAUCUUCACAAGCAAUUCACAACAACUUCCAUCCUUCUCUAUAUAUAUUUGCAAUUCACUUGAAAAGCAAAAUUUUCAAAAUUUUCAAUCUUCCAUUCUUCUUGUCUUCACAAAAUUUUCAAAAUUUCAUAUAUGGCAUCCUCUUCUCAUAGCAUUUUUGAGGGAUCGGACGAUGAAAAUUUUGAUCAAUAUUUAUUUUUUAUGUUUUUAUUUUUCAAUGUUUAAAAUGUUAUCUUAUAUUAUGUUUUAAGAAAAAGUUUAAGUUUAAUAAGAAAAAUAAAAAAAAAUUGGUGUUUAAUUAAUUUUUUUUAAAAACCCGUAAAUAAGAGACUUGCAAUGGAGCAUGUAAAUUUUCGGGUCUCUUAAUCCAGUCUCUUAAUUAACUUUUACAACUAAAAAAUAUUAAAAAAAAAAUAAGAGACCCAUUUAGGGUCUCUAGGAUAAUGAUUUUAUCCUACUCUUAGUCCUAUUUUCAUAUGUUCUUCUCUUCUUUUGAUUAGCAAAUUUCUAUUUUUUUUCCUUAUGUGGAAUUAUUUAUUUUGAGAGUGUAGACUAAUAGUUCAUCUACAACAUACAGGUAACUAUAAGCCCUGAGACUAACCAUGUGGAAAAGUGUACACUCAUGCUCAUGAUUAUCACAUCAAUUCAAUCUCAAACAAUAGGUAGGUUACCCGUCCAUUUGGUCACAUUGUUGUUGUCCUUCCUCUUACUUGCACUGAUCAUGUUUUUGUCUUGGUGAUUUUGGUACCAAAUUUCAAGGGACGGCGACAUUUAUUUAUGCUGACGAUUUGAGUAUAAAUCUUUGGAUCCUGGAGAUAAGCAAUCAGAGUUUUAACAUUGUGGACGUCAAGCCUGUGAAUAUGGAAGAUCUAACUGGGGAGCUGCAUUUUUUUUGGUGUGCUACAAAAAUAAUAUAUUGAAAUGGUAAAUUCUAACUUGGUUGGUAUCUUUCUCUCUUCUCUCUUUUAUGUUUAAUUUUGUAUGUAAAUUAUUAGUUGAUGGGGAGUUUAUUAGAGCUGGAAUAUUUAUUCUAUUCCUUGUUGCAGAGGUUAUAACAUCAGCUGAAUUACAUCCUACAAUUGCAAUACCUUAGCGUAUAGCAGUUUGAAAGGCUCAAUUCACCUGAUUGAUCUGCGUCAGUCAGCUUUAUGUGACUCACAUUCCAAAAUUGUAAGUCUUGAGCAUAGUAGACCUACUCAGUAAUGAAAUUUAUAGAAAGGAGGAUCUAGAUAUGUAUAAAUAUCUGAACUAAUAUGAACGAGGUGUUAAAUAGCUGACAAAAAAAAAUAUCUGAACUAAUCUCUCAGAAUCUAACAUCUCUCGUAUCAACACAGUAAAUCACUAGUUCUAAAGUAACACUUUUUAGAAUAAAGUGAACGAGGUGUUAACUACUAAUGUUGAGGAUACCAUAAUUGCAGAGGCGUGCCUACAGUGUAUUGAAAAAGACAUUCGCCUCAGGUCCCCGAUUAAUAUGACUGUUUUUAAGGUCCCAAAAUUUAAAAUAAUUUCCAGCAUAGUGAUUUAGACUUUUUUGAAAAAAAAAAUUUCUACGAAAAUUAAUUAAUUCUUCUUUUGAAUUCAUGUAUUUUUUCUAUAUGACAUAAUAUAAUAUAUUUACGUUAUAAACUUAUUCUUUUACAGUAUUAGACUUGUGUAUUUGGUGAAAAUAAUAUAUCAUAUUAAAAAAUUAUUUUCAUUACGGUUGUAAAUAAAUUUAUUUUUAAAACUUGCCUUAAGUCCCUAAAACUCUUCACACGGCACUGCAUAAUUGUAUAGCAAACACAAAAGAAACCAAAUUCUCUUCUAACGUUUUAUUACUUGUUGCAUCAAGGUAAGUCUAACAUUGCUUGUUUUUGUAGGUUUGAGGACAUAGAGAAACUAACUUCUAAAUCAUUUUUCACAGAGAUAAUUGCUUCAAUUUCAGACACUAAAUUUGAAAAAAAAAAUGUCAGUACUAUUAAAACAGAAUCUAUACUAGGAUUCUGCCCUUAAUUUUUAGACUUAUUUACAAUGGUAUGCCAUUAUUUUUUUGACCUUUAAAAAGAUAAAUCCAAGUGGUAUUCUGUCUAAAUAAUUCACCGAACUAUUUUAUAAAAAAAUAUAUAUAUGGUAUGCCCACUUAAAUAAAAAAGAAAACGGAAAUAAAAACUGAAAUUAAUGAAUGUUCCUCUCUUUCUCUAAAUUAAACUAACCUUCCACUAAUGAUAAUAUAACGUUUCUUUAGAACCAUAGUUUUUGUGAGUAUACUAUAAUUGUUCACAGGGUCAUCUCAAACUUUAUACAAACUCUGUUCAAAAAAAGAAAACAAGACCUUUUUUAAUAAUCUGAAAUAGUUUAGAUUUUUUUACAAUAUAUCAUUGUAAUAUAAAAUAAAUACAUAAAUAUAAUUAUUUUAUAUCUAAAUAACACAAUUUUUAAGUUUUUAAUGCAAAUCAUUGAUCAAAUCAUUGAACUUGAUCAUUUGACAUUUUUCAAUGCAAAUUCAUCGAUCAAAUCAUCAAAUUUGAUCAUUCUUCUAGUUUUUUCAGUUUUUUUUUACGUUUAUUAAAUCCACAAUGAGAAAUUAUAAUCUAUAAAUAUAAUAGAGCAAAAUCUGGUUAGUAGUUAGACAAAAAUCUAUAUACUCUUUGAUUA